UACGUAGGGUGCGAGCGUUGUCCGGAAUUAUUGGGCGUAAAGAGCUCGUAGGCGGCCUGUCGCGUCGGAUGUGAAAGCCCGGGGCUUAACCCCGGGUCUGCAUUCGAUACGGGCAGGCUAGAGUGCGGUAGGGGAGACUGGAAUUCCCGGUGUAGUGGUGAAAUGCGUAGAUAUCGGGAGGAACACCAGUGGCGAAGGCGACUAGCUGGCCUGUAACUGACGCUGAGGCGCGAAGGCUAGGGGAGCGAACAGG
rnacentral:rRNA from 1 species